AGCGAACGCUGGCGGCAGGCCUAACACAUGCAAGUCGAACGGAUCCUUCGGGAUUAGUGGCGGACGGGUGAGUAACACGUGGGAACGUGCCCUUUGGUUCGGAACAACUCAGGGAAACUUGAGCUAAUACCGGAUGUGCCCUUCGGGGGAAAGAUUUAUCGCCAUUGGAGCGGCCCGCGUCUGAUUAGCUAGUUGGUGAGGUAACGGCCCACCAAGGCGACGAUCAGUAGCUGGUCUGAGAGGAUGAUCAGCCACACUGGGACUGAGACACGGCCCAAACUCCUAGGGAGGGCAGAAGUGGGGAAAUUUGCGAAAGGGGCGAAAGCCUGACGCCGCCAUGCCGGGUAAAUGAUGAAGGUCUUAGGAUUGUAAAAUUUUUUCAGGGGGGACGCUAAGGACGGAACCCGCAAAAGAAGCCCCGGCUAACUUCGU
rnacentral:rRNA from 1 species